rnacentral:rRNA from 1 species
UACGUGAGGGGCGAACGUUGUUCGGUGUCACUGGGCUUAAAGGGUGCGUAGGUGGUUCUGUAAGUAAGGUGUGAAAUCCCUCGGCUUACCCGGGGAAUUGCAUUUUAUACUGCAGGGCUUGAGGAUCACAGGGGAAAGGGGAACUCCAGGUGUAGCGGUGAAAUGCGCAGAUAUCUGGGGGAAGGCCGGCGGCGAAGGCGCCUUUCUGGGUGAUUCCUGACACUGAGGCACGAAAGCGUGGGGAGCAAACAGG